rnacentral:lncRNA from 1 species
AUCCUGAACCUGUGCCUGCGGGAGGAGGAGCAGCAGCGUUUGCGGGAGGGGGAGUUUGAGAAGCAGAGACAACUGGAGGGUAGGGAGAGAUUGCGCGCUCUCAACGCCAUCCAGGAAGAGAUACUGCAACUCAAUCAGCUCCUGGAGCUGGCCGCACCCACCCAAUCAGACCCGACCCCUGGUCUCACAUCCUAUAGCACCCGCGUCAACCAUCUAUGCUCCCAAGUGUCGGAGGUGGUGCGCACAACAGCUGAGGGAGAGUUCUCCAGUGUGGAGAACAGGAUGGUGGCAGAGCGGGCACUGCAUGAGAUGAGGUCACUGAUCCGGAUGUUGCAAGAGGCUGCUGCCCAGGUGACGAGGAAGGAGCAGCGGGAGGAAGAGGAGCGCAGGAAGUUGUCAGAGCUGCAGGCCCAGCAGGAGGAGCAGAAGAAGAAUGUAGCUCUGUCAGCCAAAGAGAAAGAACGGAAUAAGGGCCUGUAGACUAAAGCAAGCAGAGUCGUACCAAGAGCUCCAGGCCUCAGCUAACCAGUGGUACCAAGAGCUCCAGGCCUCAGCUAACCAGUGGUACCAAGAGCUCCAGGCCUCAGCUAACCAGUGGUACCAAGAGCUCCAGGCCUCAGCUAACCAGUGGUACCAAGAGCUCCAGGCCUCAGCUAACCAGUGGUACCAAGAGCUCCAGGCCUCAGCUAACCAGUGGUACCAAGAGCUCCAGGCCUCAGCUAACCAGUGGUACCAAGAGCUCCAGGCCUCAGCUAACCAGUGGUACCAAGAGCUCCAGGCCUCAGCUAACCAGUGGUACCAAGAGCUCCAGGCCUCAGCUAACCAGUGGUACCAAGAGCUCCAGACCUCAGCUAACCAGUGGUACCAAGAGCUCCAGGCCUCAGCUAACCAGUGGUACCAAGAGCUCCAGGCCUCAGCUAACCAGUGGUACCAAGAGCUCCAGGUCUCAGCUAACCAGUGGUACCAAGAGCUCCAGGCCUCAGCUAACCAGUGGUACCAAGAGCUCCAGGCCUCAGCGAACCAGUGUGCGCAGUCUUUUGAAGGCCUGAACAACCCUAAGGAUAUUCAGGUUGGUUGA